AUGGAUUCAAUUUCGAACGCCUUCUUCCUAAAACUUUGAUAAUGUAUUUUUAUCUACAAGAUCUGGGUCAAAAGAACCAAAAUUAAUUUUUUUAAAAAUCUGGUAAAGCUGCAGAACACAUUCAUUAGGACCUACUGACACUCGCAGGUGCAGCAAAGAAAGAUAAUCAUGAAAUUAUUUUUCUUUCCUCUCUUGUUCCUAGUCCUCUUUCGUUCGUGUGAAGGUGAUCAAUGUCUAUUUGGAGCAGUGUGUUUUAACCAUGAACUUUCGACAGUAGAAAAUGGACAGACCUAUUGCUGCAUGAGCGGCUACCACACCAUUUAUACCAGUCUCCACAAUAAUGCCGGGCACCUGAGUGUUGCAUGUCAAUGCCUUCUGGCGUAAACGGACUCUCAUAAAACUGUGUACCUGUGGAUAGACUUGCAUGCAUAUUGUAAAACUAAUAAAGUUUACAAAUUUUU